CCAAGAUAACUAGGGUUUUCAAAUUUGAAAACAUUUGCUCUAAACUCUCGCGCCUGAGCUUCAUCUCCCUCCGCCAUUUCGCCCUUUUAUAUCACACUAAUCAUCUUCUCUGACAUUUGGUUCUUGAUUUUAUUCAAAUUUGAAUUCCGCUAAGCUUGAUUCAAGGAUAUUUUGAGGAGCAUUGAUUUAUGAUUUGAAGUGCAGCUGGUAAAUCAAUUCUCCGAUUAAAUCUCUCUCGCCGCAGUUGAUAGUCAUAAGCAACGGAUAAUCAAUCGGCUUGACGGGGCAGGGCAGCAUUCGGAUGCCUUUGAUUUCGCAACGGAAAGAAAUUUUUUAGGUAAAAAUUCAGUCUUUCUAACAUGAGCUAUGCAUGCAGUGUCACAUAGAAAUCUAUCAGAAGCGAAUUGUGACGUUUGCGUGAUCCUGUGGGGAAGCCACAAGGUGUGAUGGGUUGGUGGCUUAUUCGAGCUGUUAAGAAUUGAUGGAUCAUGCAUAUAUCUUCAACAUAUUGGUAAGAAUUGAAGGAGAACAGGACACUACUGCAUCAAAUAGGUUCAGAUGAAAUUUAGUUCACAUAUUAGAGCAAUAGAAAUCCUAUGAUUUUUAACAUAGCAAUAUAAAUAAUGUUCUUCCUCUCAGAUGUUCGUUUUUCAGAGAUUGAUUCAUGUAGAUAGAUUUGAGAAUGAGUAUUAUUUGAUUAUGAUAAUUAUAUGUUCUUUAAUGAGAGUUUGAGUGUGCUUACUUACACUAUUUCAGACUGGUGAUUGAUGAUUCAGAAGACAAUUAAAUAGGUGUAGAGCAAUUCAAAUGUAGGAUAUAAACUUGCAGACUUAUUUCAUUUCUGUUUGACGAGUUAUAAAUGUGAUGUAGAGCUAACACCCAAAGUUGUUCCACAUUGGAUUUUGGACUUGCCAAUUUGUUAGGAUCUGAAAUAAGCCAUGUAACUACACAAGUGAUGUGUACAUUUGGAUAUGUUUCACCGGACUAUUUAAGUGCAGGGAUGUUAAACAAAGGGAGUGAUCUUCUUGCACAAAAAGAGGAAGCUGGGAAAAAUUUAUUGCACUAGCAGAAUCCCUUGAUGCCGAAAUCAAAAGAUGGUCCACUGGGAAGGAGGGGAACUUGCGUGCAUUGCUCUCAACCCUGCAAUAUAUCCUUGGUCCUGGUACUGAUUGGCAACCAAUAUCCCUGACAAAUAUUAUAAUGUCUGAUGCUGUGAAGAAAGCUUACUGAAAAGCCACUCUCCAUGUACAUCCAGACAAGUUGCAGCAGCGAGGGGCAAGCAUCCGGGAAAAGUACAUUUGCGAGAAGGUUUUUGAUCUCCUCAAAAGCUUUUUCGAGAAGCUGUUACUUUUCCCCAAAUGCAUCCCAAUCCAAUUUCAAUUUAUAAUUCAAAUUCUCAAGUCUCAACAAGUAGGUGAAGCGUACAAGUUGAAUGUGGCAAUCAAGACUAUUUGUAUCAUUUUUCUGGAACAUAAAUGAAGGAGCAUUUGCUGACCACUCAGUUUGUUUUAUUGCAACUGCUGCUCCUGCUAAUUUGGACCCAAUCCCAGAGUAUUCUUCGGAUGAUGCUAAUUUGGCCUCUGAGUGAGUCAGUGACAAACUUUCCGCAUCUCGAAAUGCGUUGUCCAAAGCUUGACGUCUCUGACGAGUUCACACUUGGUAUCCCUGGAUACACAUCUGCAUUUUCUCACUGUAGUAACAAGGUGACUAUUGCCGAAGUUUCUGGGGGGACGGGAGAAAUAACUAUAUUGGAGCAAUUCAUCCAAGAACAUAAAUAGAAAAAGUGAUCACCUAAGGCUUAUUGCUGACAAAUUUUCUGCAUGUUCGGUAGGAAAGGUGGUCAGAUUUUAGGUGUUGUCUAACUUGGUUUCCUUUAUUCAGUAGGGAGGCUGCUCUCAAAACACAGUGAUGAUGUUGCUUUAGUAAGAUGUGCUGUUUUUACUUAACAAAAAGAAAGAAAAAACUGAUAAUUAUGUCUAGGAGUACAAAU